UACAGAGGGUGCGAGCGUUAAUCGGAAUUACUGGGCGUAAAGCGCGCGUAGGCGGCUUGUUAAGUCAAAUGUGAAAUCCCCGAGCUUAACUUGGGCAUUGCAUUCGAUACUGGCAAGCUAGAGUAUGGGAGAGGAAGGUAGAAUUCCAGGUGUAGCGGUGAAAUGCGUAGAGAUCUGGAGGAAUACCGAUGGCGAAGGCAGCCUUCUGGCCUAAUACUGACGCUGAGGUGCGAAAGCGUGGGGAGCGAACCGG
rnacentral:rRNA from 1 species